rnacentral:lncRNA from 1 species
AAUGAUCCCAAGAGAAAAUUGACUCCUUCAAACUUGGAAUUGUCUGCACCUCCUCCCUUGGUCCAAGCGUGUGCUUUCCCACAAGAAAACUCUCGGCUAUGAAUCCAUAAAUAAGAGAGCAAAGGAGAUGAGGACACAGUCGAUCGAAGCGGCGGAGAAGUUUAGUGGGAGGUGAUCGGAAAUGGGAAGGUUCGCCUCUUUGCUCCUCGCUGCAGCCGUCGUCGUCGUCAUCAUGUUCAUGGCCACCACUCAUUUCAUCUCUGCAACAUCAUACCAUCCUCCUCCCAUCAAUCCCCACAAGCCAAUGCUCGACGAUAAGCAGACGUUUGCAAGCCUCAGAAGAGGGGGACAACUGCGUCCUCCGGCUCCUGCAACUCACGUGCCUUAUAAUGUUCGUCGAAGGGUGACGCCGCCGCCACCGCGUCGUCGCUGAUACUUGUCUAUCUCUCACUCAUUUGAUGUGUUAAUCCGAUCUAGACAUGCUUGGUGUUGUUGAUGUUUGCUUGAAAUCUAUGGAGUCUGAGUAGUUUUGGUUCCUUGUUGGCAUGAGAAUACUGCACUAUUGUUGUGUAAACGUAAUGCCGCUUUGAUGAUAAAUGCAGCUUUUGGCCUCUAAUUCCGUAAAUGAUUCUGCAGCUUUUGGUCUCUAAUUCUGGAAAUGAUUCGAGCAAGUUUGAUAUGUGUGGAUCUAUGAGCAUG